rnacentral:lncRNA from 1 species
CCAUCUCCUUCCAAGCUCGGCACCUACAGCUGAAACCCAGCUCCGUGUUUGAAGCUGGCCGGGCUGAACCUAUGGUCCCUGCCACCGGCUCCUCCAUCGCGACUCUCGCCCCUGACAGCUACAGCUGAGGCACCGAGCUCUUCUCGAGGAGGCUGGGACGCUAACAUCUGGUGCUGAUCCCCGAGGGGUCUUGGCAGCAGGAUCUACAACACAGAUGUGAAGACCAUUAAUUGUGCAUCACACCUGAAGGCAGGGAGGCAGCAGCUCAGUGUCCAGGGAAAUAGCGCUCUGCUGGAAGUCAUCUGCCUGUCAGAAACUGGCGGGGUUGCGACCUGCGUCCUUGGCAGCACCGUGGAGCAGCUGUGAAGUGCCAGGCAGGCGG